AGUGAACGCUGGCGGUAGGCCUAGCACAUGCAAGUCGAACGGCAGCACAGGAGAGCUUGCUCUCUGGGUGGCGAGUGGCGGACGGGUGAGGAAUACAUCGGAAUCUACUCUGUCGUGGGGGAUAACGUAGGGAAACCUUCGCUAAUACCGCAUACGACCUACGGGUGAAAGCAGGGGACCUUCGGGCCUUGCGCGAUUGAAUGAGCCGAUGUCGGAUUAGCUAGUUGGCGGGGUAAAGGCCCACCAAGGCGACGAGCCGUAGCUGGUCUGAGAGGGUGGUCAGCCACACUGGAACUGAGACACGGUCCAGACUCCUACGGGAGGCAGCAGUGGGGAAUAUUGGACAAUGGGCGCAAGCCUGAUCCAGCCGUACCGCGUGGGUGAAGAAGGCCUUCGGGUUGUAAAGCCCUUUUGUUGGGAAAGAAAUCCAGCUGGCUAAUACCCGGUUGGGAUGACGGUACCCAAAGAAUAAGCACCGGCUAACUUCGUGCCAGCCGCCGCGGUAA
rnacentral:rRNA from 1 species